AUUGAACGCUGGCGGCAGGCCUAACACAUGCAAGUCGAACGGUAACAGGAAGCAGCUUGCUGCUUUGCUGACGAGUGGCGGACGGGUGAGUAAUGUCUGGGAAACUGCCCGAUGGAGGGGGAUAACUACUGGAAACGGUAGCUAAUACCGCAUAACGUCGCAAGACCAAAGAGGGGGACCUUAGGGCCUCUUGCCAUCGGAUGUGCCCAGAUGGGAUUAGCUAGUAGGUGGGGUAACGGCUCACCUAGGCGACGAUCCCUAGCUGGUCUGAGAGGAUGACCAGCCACACUGGAACUGAGACACGGUCCAGACUCCUACGGGAGGCAGCAGUGGGGAAUAUUGCACAAUGGGCGCAAGCCUGAUGCAGCCAUGCCGCGUGUAUGUAGAAGGCCUUCGGGUUGUAAAGUACUUUCAGCGGGGAGGAAGGGAGUAAAGUUAAUACCUUUGCUCAUUGACGUUACCCGCAGAAGAAGCACCGGCUAACUCCGUG
rnacentral:rRNA from 1 species